UAUGGCCACAUUAGUUUGAAGCACCAGUUCCCGUACGACCACUGAAGUUAAGCAACGUACCUAGAUGGGUGACCGCUCAGGAAUACCAGGUACUGUAAG